CGGACGGGUGAGUAACGCGUGGGUAACCUGCCUUACACAGGGGGAUAACGCUUAGAAAUAGGUGCUAAUACCGCAUGAGCGCACAGGACCGCAUGGUCGAGUGUGAAAAACUGAGGUGGUGUAAGAUGGACCCGCGUCUGAUUAGCUAGUUGGUGAGGUAACGGCCCACCAAGGCGACGAUCAGUAGCCGGCCUGAGAGGGUGGACGGCCACAUUGGGACUGAGACACGGCCCAAACUCCUACGGAAGGCAGCAG
rnacentral:rRNA from 1 species